rnacentral:rRNA from 1 species
GCGAACGCUGGCGGCGUGCUUAACACAUGCAAGUCGAGCGAGAAAGUCCCGCAAGGGAUGAGUACAGCGGCGAACGGGUGAGUAACACGUGGGUGACCUGCCCUCAGCUCUGGGAUAAGCCUGGGAAACCGGGUCUAAUACCGGAUAUGACUCCAUGACGCAUGUUGUGGGGUGGAAAGCCUUGUGCGGCUGAGGAUGGGCCCGCGGCCUAUCAGCUUGUUGGGGGUGAUGGCCUACCAAGGCGACGACGGGUAGCCGGCCUGAGAGGGCGACCGGCCACACUGGGACUGAGACACGGCCCAGACUCCUACGGGAGGCAGCAGUGGGGAAUCUUGCGCAAUGGGCGAAAGCCUGACGCAGCGACGCCGCGUGAGGGAUGACGG